UGGGGAAUAUUGCACAAUGGAGGAAACUCUGAUGCAGCGACGCCGCGUGAGUGAAGAAGGUCUUCGGAUCGUAAAACUCUGUCCUUGGUGACGAAAAAAAUGACGGUAGCCAAGGAGGAAGCCCCGGCUAACUACGUGCCAGCAGCCGCGGUAAUACGUAGGGGGCGAGCGUUGUCCGGAUUUACUGGGCGUAAAGGGUGAGUAGGCGGUAAUAUGUGUCAGAUGUAAAAGGCUAUGGCUUAACCAUAGUUGGCAUUUGAAACUGUAUUAGUUGAGUGCAGGAUAGGUAAGUGGAACUCCUAGUGUAGCGGUGAAAUGCGUAGAUAUUAGGAGGAACACCAGUGGCGAAGGCGACUUACUGGACUGUAACUGACGCUGAGUCACGAAAGCGUGG
rnacentral:rRNA from 1 species